UACAGAGGUCCCAAGCGUUGUUCGGAUUCACUGGGCGUAAAGGGUGCGUAGGCGGUUGGGUAAGUCUGAUGUGAAAUCUCACAGCUUAACUGUGAAACUGCAUUGGAUACUAUCCGGCUAGAGGAAUGGAGGGGAGACUGGAAUACUCGGUGUAGCAGUGAAAUGCGUAGAUAUCAAGUGGAACACCAGUGGCGAAGGCGAGUCUCUGGACAUUUCCUGACGCUGAGGCACGAAAGCCAGGGGAGCAAACGGG
rnacentral:rRNA from 1 species